rnacentral:miRNA from 1 species
UACACAUAUCCAUGUAUAUAUGUACACACACAUACAUAUGCAUACACAUAUAUACAUGUAUAUACCUAUACACAUAUGUGUAUAUUUAUG